rnacentral:rRNA from 1 species
AUACCCUAUUAUUUUUUAUGUAAAUAAUUAGUCUUGGGUAGUAGUAGUUAUGAUCUUAAAACUUAAAGAAUUUGGCGGUAUUUUGAUCUGUUUAGAGGAAUUUGUUAUGUAAUUGAUAAUCCACAUUGAACCUUACUUGAAAUGGGUUCUUGUAUAUCGCUGUUUGAGGAAUCUUCUUUUAGGUAAUUUUCUUAAUAAUUAUUUUAUUAAAAUUUCAAGUCAAGGUGCAGUAGUUUUUAAGUUUAAUAAUGGAUUACAAUAAAUUUUAUUUAAAUGGAUAGUAUUUUGAAAUAAAAAUUUGAAGGUGGAUUUAAGUGUAAUUUUUUAAAGAUUAUUAAUAUGAUUUUAAGGCUCUGAAAUAUGUACACAUCGC